rnacentral:lncRNA from 1 species
UACUGAAGCAAAGAGCAUUAUGUUACGCCUUCUGGGUAAUUCUAUGUAAAACUGUACAUUGUCAAGAGAACAUGGUCAUUCAGAACAAACCGCACAAACUCUUAUCUGUUUCUCCACAGGCAUUAUCCUUGGGUUCAGAGCCAAGUACCAGCUCUUCCUGCUAAAAUGUUCUCAAUUUGGCCUUCACCAGAAGUGAGGACAGCAGUAUAAAUGUGUGAAUUCUUGUUGCAAACUGGCUAGACCCACAUUUUAUAAAUGUCAUUUCUUGGGAUCUUGUUUAUAUGAGAAACUGCAUUUCACCAGCAGCACUGAGACUGGCUGAUGAUAUCUUAGCAGGAGGACGCUCUCCUGAGGCCCUUUCCCUAUUCUCCUAUGCUGCACAUACUUCUCUCACAGAAGCCUUUUAAGGACCAGGUUAAACUCUCAUGCCACUCUAAAAAGAAGAAAGAGGAGGAAGACAAGAAGAGAGAGGGAAAAAGAGAGGGAGAACAAGAAGAAAGAGACUCACCAGAUGCUGAUGCCUUGAUCAUGGACUUCCAAACCUCUAGAACUGAGAAAUAAAUCUUCGUUCAUUAUAAAUUACCCAGUGUGUGGUAUUCUGCUAAUAUGCUAUGGUUUUUGUGUG